GGGGGGAGGCCGGAUCCUGGGCUGUGUCCCGGCGCCCUGUGCUCUGGAGCCUGCGCUGUUGGAUUCGCGCUCCCGGGCCGCGCAACCCCCU
rfam:Canis lupus familiaris chromosome 11, whole genome shotgun sequence.